AGAGUUUGAUCCUGGCUCAGGAUUAACGUUGGCAGUGUGCCUAACACAUGCAAGUCGAGCGAUAUAGCGGCAGACGAGAGAGUAUAAACAAGGAACGUACCCCCGAGUGAAGGAUAGCCACCCGAAAGGUGNGNUAAUCCUGCAUAAUCUGUGCUUGCACAGCAAAGCGCUUGCGCGCUUGGGGAGCGGCCUUGUUCCUAUCAGCUUGUUGGUAAGGUAAUGGCUUACCAAGGCGAUGACGGGUAGCUGGCCCGAGAGGGUGACCAGCCUCGAUGGGACUGAGACACGGCCCAUACUCCUACGGGAGGCAGCAGUUGGGAAUUUUGCACAAUGGAGGCAACUCUGAUGCAGCAACACUGCGUGAAGGAUGAAGAUUUUCGGAUUGUAAACUUCUUUUAUCUGGGAAUAAUCUUGAAGGUACCAGAUGAAUAAGCACCGGCUAACUACGUGCCAGCAGCCGCGGUAAUACGUAGGGUGCAAACGUUAUCCGGAUUUAUUGGGCGUAAAGCGCUCGUAGGUGGUUUGAAAAGUCGGAUAUUAAUUCUCCAGGCUCAACUUGGAAACUGUAUCCGAAACUCUCUGACUCGAGGUAUGCAGGGGAAGAUGGAACAUACGGUGUAGCAGUGGAAUGCGUAGAUAUCGUAUGGAACGCCGAAGGUGAAGACAGUCUUCUGGGCAUUACCUGACACUGAGGAGCGAAAGCGUGGGUAGCGAACGGGAUUAGAUACCCCGGUAGUCCACGCCGUAAACGAUGCAUACUAGACAUUUGGGGUAUCGACCCUCCGAGUGUCGAAGCUAACGCGUUAAGUAUGCCGCCUGGGUAGUACGGCCGCAAGGCUAAAACUCAAAGGAAUUGACGGGGACCCGCACAAGCGGUGGAACAUGUGGUUUAAUUCGACAAUAAGCGAAGAACCUUACCAGGGCUUGACAUCUCUGGAACCCCCUAGAAAUAGGGGGGUGCCUUUUGGAGCCAGAUGACAGGUGCUGCACGGUCGUCGUCAGCUCGUGCUGUGAAGUGUCCCGUUAAGUCGGUUAACGAGCGCAACCACUAUUGUAUGUUGUAUUUUUCAUACAAGACUGCCGGCGUUAAGUCGGAGGAAGGCGGGGAUGACGUCAGAUCAGCGUGGCUCUUACGUCCUGGGCGACACACGUGUUACAAUGGGUGCUACAAAGGGUUGCUAAACUGUAAAGUGGAGCUAAUCCCAUCAAAAGCACUCUCAGUUCGGAUUGAGGGCUGCAACUCGCCCUCAUGAAGUCGGAAUCGCUAGUAAUCGUAGGUCAGCCAUACUACGGUGAAUACGUUCUCGGGUCUUGUACACACCGCCCGUCAAGUCAGGAAAGCCGGUAAUGCCCGAAGCACCCAACAGGGUACCACGGCAGGAUCGGUGAUCAGGACUAAGUCGUAACAAGGUAUCCCUAUCGGAAGGUGCGGAUGGAUCACCUCCUU
rnacentral:rRNA from 1 species